rnacentral:lncRNA from 7 species
AUGGUUCUCGAUCUCUUGCCCACGUGCAGUACGGGUAACGCCAUUCUCCAGGCGUAUGUACGGACACCAUGGAAGAAAGGGUUUGAGCGAUGGAGACAACGGCUGGAAACUCCACCGACACAACGCGACUACAUGCUUGUGGAGCCAGUUCCGAGUUGCCUCACCGGCAGACGCCCGUAGCAUCUUGCAGCAUUCUCCAGACUGCGAAGACAAGAAGUCAGCUGCGUUAUGCUGUAGAAAUCGCAGGGUCUUCUCUAUGCAGGUGAAAAUGGGUGAGAAGGAGUACAACUGUUGGAUUUGUGGCAGGAAUUUUCAAACGAAUGAAAGCGUAAGGAUGAAAACAGAAGAAAAGUGUUCAGCACGGACACAGUUAAAUUCCAGGAGCAUAAGGAAACUGUUACAGAAAAGGUGACAAUAAUACAUCUUGUUGGAAAGGAGAACCAAAAUGAAGCAGCUGUACAUCAGAGAGAAAAUCUGAACUAAGAGACUGAUAACAAGUAUGCCGAGUAUUUUUUCUUGCUUACGGGUGAAAAAGCCAGCAAAGUCUCUGUUUGAAGACAAAGCACAUAAUAAUAUGAUCAUAAAAAUCUCCUAAUG